CGACACACUGGUACCACUCAGAUAACCGAAGUUAAGCAACGUCAAGCCCGGUCAGUACCUAGAUGGGUGACCACUAGGGAAUACCAGGUGUUGUA